rnacentral:rRNA from 1 species
AUGGAAGCAGCAGAUGAGGAGAAGCCCCUGCUUAAUCGACAACCCAAUCCUCAGGAUGUAGGUUCAGAAUAUACCAGCGAUGGAUCAGUCGAUAUCAACAAACAGCCUGCUCUGAAGGGAAGUACAGGCCGUUGGAGGGCAUGCUACAUGAUUUUAGGUGUUGAGUUCUGUGAAUGCGUGGCCUUCUUCGCGAUCUCAAGGAACUUGGUAACCUAUCUUACCACCGUGCUCCAUGAAAGCAAAGUCGCCGCCGCGAGAAAUGUCUCUGCCUGGGUCGGCGCCAGCUUCCUCACGCCGCUCAUCGGAGCCUUCUUGGCCGACACAUACCUGGGAAGAUACUGGACAAUGGUUGCUUCCCUCCCGAUCUACAUCCUUGGAAUGCUGGUCCUCACAGUGUCAGCAUCAGCCCCAACAUCUUCCUACAGCGGCGGCGAGGUUCAUCGCACCAUGGUCUACGCAGGGCUCUACCUCUCCGCGCUCGGUGGCGGCGGCACCAAGCCCUGCACGUCGACCUUCGGGGCCGACCAGUUCGACAGCGCCGACCCGGCGGAGCUGGCGAAGAAGGGCUCCUUCUUCAACUGGUACUACUUCAUGAUCAACCUCAGCUCCCUCCUGUCGAGCACGGUGCUUGUUUGGCUGCAGGACAAUGUCGGGUGGGGGGUCAGCUUCGCGAUCCCGACGGCGCUCUUGGCCUUAGCCCUCGCAGUGUUUGUUGGUGGCUCGACGGUGUACAGGUUUAGAGAACCCACAGUGAGCCCGUUCACCAGCCUCUGCCAGGUGGUCGUCGCGGCCCUCAGCAAGUGGCGUAUGCAGUUGCCCGAGGACGUCUCCCUUUUCUACGAGCUGUCUGAAUCAGGCCACACAAUUCAGCAUACGAGUCAAUUCAGAUUCCUCGACAAGGCUGCCAUUAUGCUGCCCCCCUCAGACAAGGCAUGCGUGGCGCCGCCGACGAGUUCGUGGAAGCUCUGCACGGUGACACAGGUCGAAGAGCUGAAGAUACUGCUGCGGAUGUUCCCCGUCUGGGCAUCUUUCGUGAUCUUCCACGCCGUCACCGGUCAACUAUCGUCGACGUUCAUCGAGCAGGGGAUGGUCAUGGACAACAGUGUCGCCGGAUUCGCCAUCCCACCGGCCUCCCUCUCCAUCUUCGGCGUCUUCAGCGUGCUCAUCUGGGUGCCCGUCUACGAGACCGUGCUGGUGCCGCUCGCCCGGCGCUGCACCGGCAACCACAAGGGCUUCUCACAGACGCAGCGGCUCGGCAUCGGCUUCGCGCUGUCCGCGCUGACCAUGGUCUACUCGGCGAUGCUCGAGACGAAGAGGCUGGCGGUCGCGCGAGCCAGCGGCCUGGCCGGACAGAACGUGCCGGUGCCGAUGAGCAUCCUGUGGCAGGCGCCGUCGCACGUCCUGCACGGCGCGGCGGGGGUCUUCGCGGGCAUCGGCAUGACGGAGUUCUUCUACGACCAGGCCCCGUACGCCAUGAAGAGCCUCUGUGCGGCGCUCGCGCAGCUCUCGAUCGCGUCCGGGUUUUACUUCAACACGGUUGUGCUUGGUGUCGUCGCGGUGGUCACCACGCGUGGCGGGGCGCCUGGGUGGAUCCCGGACAACCUGAACGAAGGGCAUCUGGACUAUUUCUUCUGGAUGAUGGCUGCUCUGAGCUUACUCAACCUUGCGCAGUUUGUGCACUACUCCGUGCGGUGUAGAGAGAAGACAACUUCUUCACCCUGA